AUUGAACGCUGGCGGCAUGCUUUACACAUGCAAGUCGAACGGUAACAGGGAGCUUGCUCCGCUGACGAGUGGCGAACGGGUGAGUAAUGCAUCGGAACGUACCCAGUCGUGGGGGAUAACGUAGCGAAAGUUACGCUAAUACCGCAUACGUCCUGAGGGAGAAAGCGGGGGACCGUAAGGCCUCGCGCGAUUGGAGCGGCCGAUGUCGGAUUAGCUAGUUGGUAGGGUAAAGGCCUACCAAGGCGACGAUCCGUAGCGGGUCUGAGAGGAUGAUCCGCCACACUGGGACUGAGACACGGCCCAGACUCCUACGGGAGGCAGCAGUGGGGAAUUUUGGACAAUGGGCGAAAGCCUGAUCCAGCCAUGCCGCUGAGUGAAGAAGGCC
rnacentral:rRNA from 1 species